ACGACCAUUACUUUGAAAAACAGAGAGAAAAGAAAACCAAAAACCAUUUCUUGGCUGGUUUGAAGAAAUUCUAAGGAGAUCCAAGUGAAAUCAAAGCCAAAGAAGUGGAUUAAGCUUAGUUCUAGCCUUUUUAUGAUAUUUCUUGGUGGUUUCCAAGUGGUUUGAGGUUUAGAAAAUCUAGAAGAGAUUGUUUUCGUCGAAAAGUUGCUCGGAUAAGCACAUCAACACCUAAGACACCACUUGUUACACGGUGAAUUAUAUUUUGGACAGAAGGUAGAGAAAGAAAUGAGUGAAUGACAUAAGGAGAACUGAAGCAUGGUCCUAACCCUGAUUUGUACAUAUGAACACAUCGACCUUUUGCGGGUUAUUUCAGUUUACCAAUGUGAUAUUUGUAAUAAAGUGUGAAGUUAUGUUUUGAAAACAAAUUGGGUUAUUUAAUAUGUAAUAUGUUUGAGACACACUUUAUGUUUAAUGUAAAUAAUGUGAAAUAAGUUUUCAAGUUUUAAAAAAAAAAAUAUGUCCAGACUUCCGUAGUAAUAAAUUAUGAUAUAGUUUUAAAACGUAACACCUCAGAUAUGGUUUUAACUAAAAUAAGUGAGGGUGUUACAACUAUUGCCUUUCUAAACCCUAUUAUAGCCGAAAUAUUGAACCCCCUCAAGCCAAUAUAUAGCCGAAAUCUACCCAAGUAUCAAAACUCUUGGUGUUGUUGUUGGAGAUAGACAUUAGAGAGAAGACUCAUGAUUUCAUCAUUUUGGUUCUAGGUUGAAGGUAUGAUUUUAUGAGGUUUAGAAAAUUCUUGAAAGUAUAGUUUUAUUAUAAGGCUCUAAUAUAUAUAUCUUAUGUUGUAUUUAAGGUUGAUUGGACGUUUUCUAUAGCAAACAAUCUCUUAUCCUUUUUUUUUCUCUCCAUAUUCAAGGUAAGGAAAAUAAGUUAGAUUUUAUGUUCUAUGUGUUUGUUUGUAUGUUUUUUUUAUGACUUUUAGUCACUUGGGAAAUAUGGUUGCUUAGAUAGCAAAUCCUGAGAAUUUUUUUAUCAUUAUCGUAGACUAUAGUUGUGUCUAAACCUACCUCUAAAAUAGUAGAUAAGAGGACUAUAGCGGUUUCUAUCACAUACUACGGUAAUGAGUUAGUGGCCAUUAAUAUUGUAGUCCAUUUUUAUGUUUUAUGUUUUAGUAGUUUUUCUUAUUGGGCAUUAGACUCAUUCCUUUUUAUUUAGAUUGUGCAUGUAAAUGAACCUGGAAGGUGGGACGGAUUUGAGGCAGCUUUGGCUUGUGUAUUGGGCGAGGAACUUAAGGAAUGAACCGAUGGGAUCGAUCGAGGAUGAUGUUGAUAUUUUAAGUUUUUUUAGUUAUGUCUUUAUGAUUUCCGCAUUUAGUACUUGAAUAUUUAGAUAAAUAUUUUAUUUUCUUUAUGAUUUUAUGU